CCUACGGGAGGCAGCAGUGGGGAAUUUUGGACAAUGGCGCAAGCCUGAUCCAGCCAUGCCGCGUGUGGGAAGAAGGCCUUCGGGUUGUAAACCACUUUUGUCAGGGAAGAAACGGUCUGAACUAAUACUUUGGACUAAUGACGGUACCUGAAGAAUAAGCACCGGCUAACUACGUGCCAGCAGCCGCGGUAAUACGUAGGGUGCAAGCGUUAAUCGGAAUUACUGGGCGUAAAGCGUGCGCAGGCGGCUUUUGCAAGACAGAUGUGAAAUCCCCGGGCUCAACCUGGGAACUGCAUUUGUGACUGCAUGGCUAGAGUACGGUAGAGGGGGAUGGAAUUCCGCGUGUAGCAGUGAAAUGCGUAGAUAUGCGAGGAACACCGAUGGCGAAGGCAAUCCCCUGGACCUGUACUGACGCUCAUGCACGAAAGCGUGGGGAGCAAACAGGAUUAGAUACCCUGGUAGUCCACGCCCUAAACGAUGUCAACUGGUUNUUGGAGGGUUUCUUCUCAGUACGAAGCUAACGCGUGAAGUUGACCGCCUGGGGAGUACGGCCGCAAGGUUGAAACCUUAAAUGAGUAGAGCGNGAGAGAGCGACGACGACGACGAGGGAGGAGG
rnacentral:rRNA from 1 species